GGGCAAUGGGCGAAAGCCUGACCCAGCGACGCCGCGUGGGGGAUGAAGGCCUGCGGGUCGUAAACCCCUGUCGGAAGGGACGAUGCUCUAAGGGGUGAACAGCCUCUUAGAGUGACGGUACCUUCCAAGAAAGCCCCGGCUAACUACGUGCCAGCAGCCGCGGUAAGACGUAGGGGGCGAGCGUUGUCCGGAGUCACUGGGCGUAAAGGGCGCGUAGGCGGUCUAGCAAGUCAGGUGUAAAAGGCCACGGCUCAACCGUGGAGGCGCACCUGAAACUGCUAGGCUAGAGGGCAGGAGAGGGGAGUGGAAUUCCCGGUGUAGCGGUGAAAUGCGUAGAUAUCGGGAGGAAUACCAGUGGCGAAAGCGACUCCCUGGACUGACCCUGACGCUGAGGCGCGAA
rnacentral:rRNA from 1 species